UACGGGGGGGGCAAGCGUUGUUCGGAAUUACUGGGCGUAAAGGGCUCGUAGGUGGCCAACUAAGUCAGACGUGAAAUCCCUCAGCUUAACUGGGGAACUGCGUCUGAUACUGGAUGGCUUGAGUUUGGGAGAGGGACGCGGAAUUCCAGGUGUAGCGGUGAAAUGCGUAGAUAUCUGGAGGAACACCGGUGGCGAAGGCGGCGUCCUGGACCAACACUGACACUGAGGCGCGAAAGCGUGGGGAGCAAACAGG
rnacentral:rRNA from 1 species